GCGCGUCUUUCGUAUUAUACAGCGCCGCACAAAGUGUUUCCCUGACUUCCAAAGGGGUCCUUUAGCCGCUUUCGGCUGCUAUUGAUUACUAAAUGGGAUUAUGUAAUUAACAAUCCGCUGGCAAUAAUGUAUACAUGGUGUCCGUAUCCGGCCCGCGCCGCCGGAAUCCCUAUCGCCCCCGGCAGAUAUCGUAUAGUGUAAUGUAUACCGUACGUUCUUGCGACAUUUUCGUUAUAAUUAUAUUCCGCGCCGCGAAUAUCGCUUAUUCCAUUUGGAUGUCGCGAAAGCGUUUGUU